UUCCGUUCAAUCAUCCGACCUUGAUCUAUGUUGUUUUCGUUGUAUGUUUGUUUUGUAUAUUGCAAGUAUCCGAUAGAGAUAGUUCACAAGUUAGCACCGAAUGGUCUGGCAUAGUUGCCCCGGCAGCAGGUUGUAUUUCAAAUUGACUGAUAAUGUCCGAAAUUAAAUUAACUUUAAAAUUCGAGUAGUUAGUGAGAUCAG
rnacentral:lncRNA from 1 species